GACGAACGCUGGCGGCGUGCUUAACACAUGCAAGUCGAACGGACCUGAACUUAGCAAUAGGUGAAGGUUAGUGGCGAACGGGUGAGUAACGCGUAGACAACCUGCCUUCUAGAUGGGGACAACACCGCGAAAGUGGUGCUAAUACCGAAUGAGGUGCCGAGCUCGCAUGAGCAUGGUACGAAAGGUGGCCUCUAUUUAUAAGCUACCGCUAGAAGAAGGGUCUGCGUCUGAUUAGCUAGUUGGAGAGGUAACGGCUCACCAAGGCGACGAUCAGUAGCCGGUCUGAGAGGAUGAACGGCCACACUGGGACUGAGACACGGCCCAGACUCCUACGGGAGGCAGCGGUGGGGAAUCUUCCGCAAUGGACGAAAGUCUGACGGAGCAACGCCGCGUGAGUGAAGAAGGCCUUCGGGUUGUAAAGCUCUGUUAUUAGGGACGAACGAAUCAUAUGUGAACAAUGUAUGGAAGUGACGGUACCUAAGGAGGAAGCCACGGCUAACUACGUGCCAGCCGCCGCAGUAA
rnacentral:rRNA from 1 species